UUGCUUAGUGGUGUUGCAGACUCUGGGGCCUUUCAGAACAGAGCUGCUGCCGUGCAUGCUGGGUAUGCAGAGCUACCUGGACAGCAGUGUAGUGGGUGUGAGGCGCAUGGGCAUUGUGGUUGGGGAAUGUCUCUGCUGGACAUCAUCGGAGCCAAGCUCAAAUUAGAGGAGGAGGAGACCAAUGAGUUGCUUUCACUGAUGACUCCACUGUCUGAUGAAGAAACAGAGCAGCUUGAUAGCAGUAUUAUAAUCAAACCCAUAACACUAUAUGUCAGCUGACCAGGAGACGAGCCAUGCAGCCCCGCCUCGCUACCUCCGAGACUGUUUGGAGG